GGGACGAGCCCAGCACUGAAUCCCCCGGCAUGCAGCCGGCGGGAAAUGUGGUGUGUGGGACGCCAACUGUCGUCCGCGCUGGAGACCGAAGUCCUCCUGAUCGGGGCCUCUCCCACAGCGGGUGUCAGGCCUUUACUGGUCUCUGGCCGGGCGGCUGCGAGCGUCUCAGGAGUCGGGUUGUUUGGGAAUGCAGCCCAAAGCGGGUGGUAAACUCCAUCUAAG
rnacentral:rRNA from 1 species